rnacentral:lncRNA from 1 species
AAAUUGUGUGCGUACAAAAGAAAGAAAAACACAAAAUAAAAUAAACUUUCGCAGAGCUUUUCUCCUCUAACAAAGCUCCUCAAUCCAAACUCCAAUGAUCUCAAUUAACCUUAUACAAGUAUGUGGGAAAACAAAUUGAAGAAAUAGGAUGAUAUAGAUCUCCUUAAGCAAUCAAUUAUUCAAGAGUGAUGUAACCAACAAGAGUUGUGGUGAAAUGAAUAUGAUAUCUUCCUCUGCAUUUAAUAAGUAUUUUGAAUUCAAAUUUUAAGUGUGAAAAAAUUAUAUCAAUAAGCAUCUCAGAUCUUUCGCGGUACGGAUCAUCAGUAGAAAAACAACAAAAAUGAUGUAUGGCAGCAAAAAUUGGAGAAUCAGGUGAAACCAAUUUUGAAUAUUCUUUUCAUUUACUUUUAGCUUUAGAUAUUCUAGCUUUGAUCGUAAUUUUUCAAGUAUAUGAUAUUUUUAAUAUAAGAUAAGUAUAAUAAUUAAAGGUGGCUAAAGAAAGAGAUUCGAUUAUAUUAUUAUUGUAACUAAGAUCAAAGGCGAUCCAGGAUAUGAAUUUCAGGGGUUUUGACAUUUAAGACGAGACAAUCACCUCAAGCUAAUAUAUAAUAAUCGUCAAAGUACAGAUAUGUAAUAUAUUUAAAAAACAUUCAUUUAAACACUACAUAAAUAUAAAUAUUAUCAUUAUAAUUGUACUCGACUACUUGUCAUAUUUAGGAAACGAUCAAUAAUCGCAUCGUUAGAUACACUUUUAAAUAUGCCAUCCUCUAUUUAAUAAACUAAACAAUUAUUUAGAAAAUUAUCACUAGUUCUACUUCACAAGUAAUUUUUAACACAUUUCAUGAAGAAAAAAGUUCUUUUGUUUGUGCCUAUUUUCAUUGUAACUUAUAUAAAGAUUGUAAAUUAUGAAAAAAAAAAAAAUUACAUUAGAAAAUUUUCAAAAAUAUGAAAAGGACCACAUACUUGUUGGGUUAUCGUAAAUUCUGAGUUGAAGCUUCAAGAAAUACCAAACAUUAAUAUAUAUAAAAGAACAAUAUGGGAGAUACAUAGAAUCAAAUUAAAAUCAUUUUUUAAAUAUAUAUUAUGCAUUAUGAUAGGCAAAGAAAUUGAAAAUAAAAAAGUAGGAGGAGAGGAGAAAGACUGAAAGAAUUUUCUAAACAUAUCAAUCACGAGGUUUGAACUCCAACCGAGAAGGUGGCGACAUGCAAAGGAUUUUAUAGUUUUGAAGAGAAAGAAGAAUAAUUUUUAGUCGGAGUCUCCCUUUUAUUUGUGAAGCAAAUUCAUUGAAAAGGAAGAAAAAUAAUUUCACAUUAUGGAGAAAAAAUAAUUACCAACAUGGGUUGUGGUGCAGUGGAUGGGGCUGCUCCACCCUUAACCAGAGGUCGAGAGUUCGACCUUGGAUAUGGAGAAAACUCUAUUGGGAGUGCUGCCACCUUAAUCGGUCCUGCAUCACGUGAUUCAGAUUAAUCGGGGCUCCAAUGCGGCACCAGACACCAUAUGGGAAACCAAAAAAAAUAAUUAAAAUAUUGUCCCUUCUGUAUGGGUAAAUUCGAAGCAAUGUUUUAACCAGAUGUUUGAAACAAUUGUAAGAUUUGGAAAGAAUAAAACAGUAUUUGAAAAUAAUAUUUCAAAACUAGAAUUGUGUUUAGAAGAAUAUAAAUUAGAGUUGUUGUUUUUCUUUCUUUUAAAGAAAAUCUGCGUUGAAGGUCUAUCGAAAAUAAGUUCUCUACUUUAUAUGAGGUAGUGGUAUGAACUGCAUAUACUUUACCCUCCAUAAACCCCACUUUGUGUAUUACACUUUAUCCUCCCUAAAGAAAUUUGCAUAUAUGUAUAUAUCCAGAUUUAAAUCUGCACAAGUAUAUUUAAAUUCCUGGGGUUUGAACCCAUAUCGUCAAGAACAGAAAAUCUUAGCACCUUCCCCAUCACCAAUCGACCGGAAACUAGCUUUGACAUGGGUUCACACUCUAAUAAAUAUAGAUAUUUACUGAAUUUUCUAACACAAAUACAAGAUCUACACUAAAGUAAUUAGGUUUGUCCAAACCCUCUAAUACACCGUAGUUGCGCCCCUAAUUAGAUAAAUAUUAGAGCACAGCAAUUUAAAACGAACGGAAGAGAUAUAUAUUAGAAUUAGAGUUAGAAUAUAUAUGUUAGAGUCAAAAUUAGAUUUAGAGUUAAAACAUUUUACUUAUAAUUAAUUAAUUAUGCGAAGACCAUUUAAAAAUAGAGAAACUUUUAGAAAAAUUAAAGAAUCUUUAAUUAGUAAUUAUUCAGAAUAUAUAAGUCUAAAUAAAACAAAAGAAAAUCCACAAAAACUAGCCUACUUAAUUACAUUAAUAUCUAGUAUUGAAUCAAAAUUAAUAACACAUUUAAAAUCUAGAAGAAUGAAACAUAUACCACCUAAUUAUGAUAAAAUUAGAUUCAGAUAUCCACCAAGAUAUUAUGAAUAUAAUUUAAAAUGAAUAAAGUACAACAAUAUAAAGAAUUAAAACAAAUUAUCUCUGAAAAACGUAAAGAAUUAAAAAUAAGAAUAAAAAGACUACAUUAUAAUAUAUUUGCCGGAGUUAGUAAAAAUUCAAUAGAUACACAAAAAGAUGAAAUAUCAAAAUUAGAAUCGCAAAUAGAUAGUUUAGAAUAUGUAUAUCAACAUGACCUAUUCACAAUAAAAUGAAUAAAGAAGAAUUUAUAAUAGAUGAAAAAAUAUAUGAAAACUACGAAGGAUCAAAAAUAAAAAUAGUAUUUUCUAAUCUAGGACGAAGAUAUAAGAAAAUAGGUGAACAUUUAUAUCUAAUGUUAGAAAAAGAAGAAUUAAAAUUAGAAGAUAAAUUAACAGCAAUGGUAAGAAUAGAAAAAGAAAAUGAAGAGAUAGAUAGGAAAAAAGAAAUAGAAAAAAUAAAACAACAAACUACGGAAGAAAUACGAAAAAUAGAAGAAACCAAAAAUAGUAGAAUUGCUGAAUUAGAAAAAGAAUUACAAAUGUUAAAAGAACUGUAUGAACAAAGACAAAAAGAAAAAGAAGAAAAAGAUAGAGAACAGAAAUUACUAAAUGAGAUAAAUCAAUUUAAGGAAAAAUUAGAAAUAAAAAAUGAAGAAUUAGAAAUAAAUAAUAUAGAUAUUGAAGAGACAGAUAAUUAUGAGUCCGAAGAUAGUGAAACAUACACAGAAAUAUUAACAAAUACAAAAAAUUUAGAAAUCAAUGAAGAACAAAAAAUUAAUGAGGAAAACUUAGAAAAUACCCACACAGAAAUAAAUACUCUUGAUAAAAAAGAAAAUGAAAAUAUAAUACCUAAAACAACAGAAAUAAGAAAACCUAUAUACCAUAAGAAUAAGUUUAAAAAAUAUAAUGAAUAUGAUAAAUGGAUACCAAAACAAAUAGUGAAUAAAAAUUAUAACUUUUUAGAUCUAGACUGUGUAAUAGAUACAGAAAAAACAAUACAAUUAUGGAUAGGAUAUAUGACAAAACAAUUAUUAGAUAAUAAUAUAAAUAUAACAGAUGCACCGGAAUAUAUAGAAAAAACACUAAUAGGAUCAGUAAAACUAUGGUUUGCAAAUCUAACCGAAAAUAGCAAAAAAGUAUUAAGAACUAAUAAACCUAUAGAAGGAACAUCAUCGACAACAACUAAACUAACACCUAUAGAAUUAUUAAAAAAAUAUGAAACAGCUAUAAAAGAUGAAUUUGGUAGUACGACAACAAUCGAAGAAGAACAAAAUGAAGAAAAAGAUACAAAUAGAAAUUUAAUGUUAAAAUUAGCAAUAUGUAAUAUGUGUUAUAUAGAUGAAUAUACUUGCGCAUUUAAAGAAUAUUAUUACAAAGGAGCAUAUAGUAUAGAAGAAAGUAAAGAAAUAAGAAAAUUAUAUUUUAAUAAAUUACCCGAGCCAUUUAGUUCGAAAAUAAUAAAAAGUUGGGAAGAAGCAAAAAUAGUAGAUACGUUAGGAGCAAGAAUAAAAUAUUUACAACAAUGGUAUAGAAACUUAUGUGAAAAAUAUAGAGAAGAAUUAAAAAUGGAAAAAACAUUAAUAAGAAAUUUAGCUUGUUGCAAAAAUAAAAUAGCACCCCAAUUUGGAUGCGAAGAAAGAUAUUAUAAGAAAAGAAAAAGACAUAAGAAAUAUAAGAAAUAUAAAAAAUCAAAAUAUAAAUAUAAAAAACCAAGAAAAAGAUACUAUGUAAAAAAUUAUAAACAUAAAAGACCAUAUAGAAAAAAGAAAUCUAUAAAAGAAUGUACUUGUUAUAAUUGUGGAAAGUUAGGACAUUUAGCUAGAGAUUGUAAAUUACCUAAAAAUCCAAAAAAUAAACAAAUAUCAGAAAUAAAAAUAGAAAAUACCGAAUACAUGCAGAUAGAUUAUAUAGAUUAUGAAUUAGAAAGUGAAGAUAGUAUAUAUGAAAUUUCAGAAAACGAAACAGAUAAUGAAAUAGAUAGCGAAAUAGAUGAAUCAAAUGACUGAAGAAGAUAUAAAAAUAAUAACAAAGGAAGAAUAUUUAAAUGAUGAAGGAACGGAACAAAAAAUAAUAUUUGACAGUAAUAUAUUUGAUGAAAUAAAAGGAAAAGAAUUAGAUUUAAGUGUAGACAAAAUAUUUAAAAUACCAACAAUAAAAAAUAUUUUUACUAGGAAAAAAGAUGAAUAUUAUGUAGUAUGCCAAAAAGAACAUGUAAUAGAUUGCAGAUAUGCAAAAGGAAAAGCUAGUAUACCACUAGUAACAAAAAGAAUAAUUAAUAAAGAAAUAAAUGAUAUAAAAAGUAAAGGAGAUCCAAUAAAAUAUGUACACCUUGGAGGUACAGAGAUAUUAAUAAAAGCAUGUUUUAGAGAAGGAAUAGAUACACCAAUAGAAUUAUAUUUAGCAGACGAUAGAAUUAUAAAACCUAUAGAAAAAAGCAUAAUAACUGCCGUAAAAGGAAAUCUAAUAUACCAAAAAUUUAAAUUUAUAAUAAGUGCAAAUUAUUCAGUAGCAGUAACAGAUAGGAAUAUAGAUAAAUCAUUAGUAUUAUAUUGGAAAAUAUCAGGAAUAGAGUUAACCCCAGGAAGUAAAAUAUUUACAGCAAGAUGUAAAAACCUAUAUGUAUUAACAACAAAACAUAAAAUAACAGGAAAAAAUAAGAUUAACAAAAUACAAAUAGAAAGCCCAUUCGAACAAAUAGUAAAAACAAUAGAUUAUAAUGAUUAUACCUAUAGAGACAUAGAUACAGAAGAAAAUUUAGAAAUAGUAAAUGAUAGAAUAAGUACAACGAAAAGAAUAGCUAAUGAAAAGCCAGAAUCAUCAAGCUCAUCAAAAAGAACAAGUUAUGAAACAAACUCAAUAAGUAAUUUAAACCAAUAUUACAUAACGGGAAAAAUAAAUGAAAAAGAAUAUUUAAUACUUUUGAACACAGGACAAGAAGAAAAUUAUAUAGCAAAAUAUCUAGUAAAAAAUGAAGAAAUAAAAACCGACAAUAAUAUAUGCCCAGACUUACCAAGAAGUUUAAUAAAUAAUAAAAAUCUAGCAGAAAAAGAAAUAAUAUUAGGAGUUAGAAAAAUAAAAAUAGAAUUCGAAGUAAAAGAAGAAAUGCAAAAAGCAGAUAUAAUAUUAGGAAUAAAAUGGUUAGAACAAGUAAAACCAUAUAAUAUAGAACAUACACAAUUAACCUUAACAUAUAACCAAGAAAAGUUAUUCUUAAAAAGAGCCUUAACAUGAAAUGAAGAUACAUGUAUUAAUGAAGAUAGUAGUAGAAGGAUAUUACAGUAGAUAUUAUACGCCUAUGAUAGAUACAGGAGCAGAAGCUAAUUUAUGUAGAUAUAAUUGCUUACCAGAAAGCAAAUGGGAUAAACUAAAAACACCAAUAAUAGUUAAAGGAUUUAAUAAUGAAGGAAGCUUAAUUACUUAUAAAGCUAGGAAUGUAAAAAUACAAGUAUGGGAUAAGAUAUUAACAAUAGAAGAAAUUUAUAACUAUGAAUUAACAUCAAAAGAUAUACUUUUAGGAAUGCCAUUUUUAGAUAAAUUAUACCCACAUAUAAUAACUAAAACAGACUGGUGGUUUACAACACCAUGCAAACAAAAAGUAAGAGCAAAAAGAGUUAAUAAUAAAAUAAGAAAGAAAACUGAUUGGAUAAAAGGAAGUGAAAAAAUUACACAAAAGUUAGAAAAUAUAAACAAUACUGAAGAUACAGUAGAACUAGUAGUAUUUUCGAUAAAUAAAACAGAAAUAACUAUAUUUUCAAUAAAUAAAAUAGAAAUAAUUCAGAAAAAAUUAGAACAAUUAUAUAGUGAAGAUCCAUUAAAAGGAUGGGAAAAACACAAAACUACUAUAAAAAUUGAAUUAAUAGAUAAGAAUAGCAUAAUAACACAAAAACCAUUAACAUAUAAUUUUGAUGAUUUAAAAGAAUUUAAAAUGCACAUAGAUGAAUUAUUAGAAAAACAAUAUAUACAAAAAAGUAAUAGUAAACAUAAUAGUCCAGCAUUUAUAGUAAAUAAACAUAGUGAACAAAAAAGAGGAAAAAGUAGGAUGGUUAUUGACUAUAGAAAUUUAAAUGCAAAAACUAUAACAUAUAAUUAUCCGAUACCAAAUAAGAUAUUAAAAAUAAGACAAAUCCAAGGAUAUAAUUAUUUUAGCAAAUUUGAUUGUAAAUCAGGAUUUUACCACCUAAAGCUAGAAGAAGAAUCUAAAGAAUUAACCGCAUUUACGGUACCACAAGGAUUUUAUGAAUGGAACGUGUUACCAUUUGGAUAUAAAAAUGCACCAGGUAGAUAUCAACAUUUUAUGGAUAAUUAUUUUAAACAAUUAUCUAAUUGUAUAGUAUACAUAGAUGAUAUAUUAUUAUACACCAAAACCAAAGAAGAACAUUUAAAAUUAUUAGAACAAUUCACAGAUAUAAUAGAAAAAUCAGGAAUAAGUCUAAGCAAAAAGAAAGCUGAAAUUAUGAAAAACCAGAUAGAAUUUUUAGGAAUACAAAUAGAUAAAAGUGGAGUAAAAAUGCAACAACAUAUAGUACAAAAAAUAAUAAAUUCGAAAGAAGAAUUAGAUACAAAAAAGAAAUUACAAUCAUUUUUAGGAUUAGUAAACCAAGUAAGAGAAUAUAUUCCAAAAUUAGCAGAAACCUUAAAACCACUGCAGAAAAAAUUAAAAAAGGAUAUAGAAUAUAAUUAUGAUGAAAAAGAUAAAAAACAAGUUCAAAAAAUAAAAUUACUUUGUAGAGAAUUACCAAAAUUGCAAUUUCCAGAUGAAAAUAGAAAAUUUAUAUAUAUAGUAGAAGCAGAUGCAAGUGAAUAUAGUUACGGAGGAGUACUUAAAUAUCGAUAUGAAGCAGAAAAAAUAGAACACCAUUGUAGAUACUACUCAGGUACGUUCAACGAGACAGAAAUAAAAUGGGAAAUAAAUAGGAAAGAAUUAUGUUCAUUAUAUAAAUGUUUAUUAGCAUUUGAGCCAUAUAUUGUAUAUAACAAAUUUAUUGUACGAACAGAUAAUACACAGGUACGCUGGUGGUUAACAAAGAAAAUACAAAAUUCAGUUACAACAAAAGAGAUUCGAAGACUAGUUUUAAAUAUAUUAAAUUUCACAUUUACAAUUGAAGUGAUCAGUACUAACAAAAAUGUUAUUGCAGAUUACAUAUCAAGACAAAGCUACACAGACUGAAAUAGUAGAGGAAGAUACUCUAGAAAAAAUACUUAACACCCUAACUACGCUUUCAAUGAAAGUGGACAGUAUGGGUAAUGAGAUAGAAAAGCUAAAGACUAAUGAAGAUAAACUGAAGUCUAUAGCUACAAAUCAGCUAACUCAGCAAUGUGCAGAGCUAUGUCGAUCGAAAGACAUUAAAAAUCCAGAGCUAGAAGGAGACGUUGGGACACUCCAUAAAACCCAUAACAUUUAUCAAUCUACUUCUGCAGGUACAAGCAAAGGAGUUAAUAGACCAAGAUACCAGAAUGUAAAUAUGAACAAAAUAUUUGAAAAACCAUUUGUUUUAAAUUGCUAUGCUCUGAUACCAUUUGGAGGGGGGGGGGUUGUGCGGAUCUAAUAGGUAUAAUAGAUUCACUAGAAACCUACUAAAUCUAUUAUACCUGUUAGAUCCGCACACCCCCCCCUCCAAAUAUUUUUUACUUUAGUUAACUAAAAAAAGCAAAUGUUUUAUUUAGACUUAUAUAUUCUGAAUAAUUACUAAUUAAAGAUUCUUUAAUUUUUCUAAAAGCUUCUCUAUUUUUAAAUGGUCUUCGCAUAAUUAAUUAAUUAUAAGUAAAAUGUUUUAACUCUAAAUCUAAUUUUGACUCUAACAUAUAUAUUCUAACUCUAAGAAAAGUUUUUCGAGUUGGUUGAUCAAUCCCUAAGAUCUCACGUUGAAUAAAAUUUACAUGGGUGUGCGGAUCUAAUAGGUAUAAUAGAUUCACUAGAAACCUACUAAAUCUAUUAUACCUAUUAGAUCCGCACACCCCCCUCCAAAUAUUUUUUACUUUAGUUAACUAAAAAAAGCAAAUAAGAGUCCAUCUAACAAUUUAUGAUUAAUUGAUAAAAUUGUGUGAAAAACAUAUAUAUUAUCUUUAUUGAUUUGAUAUUAAUUACUAGAUUUGUAUUUUCGUACAAAAAUAUUGUAGAAGUAGUGUUUGAUUGAAUAAUGAAAAAAUUUAUAUAUAUAUAUAUAUACCAUCACAUUACUGCUCCUUAUCAUGAUUUUUUUUAUUUCCUAUCUAUUAGUAUUAAUUACUAAAUUUGUAUUUUCGUACAAAAAUAUUGUAGAAGUAGAGUUUGAUUGAAUGAUGAAAAAUUCAUCAACUUUUAUAUAGAUAUUUUGGUCCGUUAAUUUUUUUUUUUACUUUAGAUAUUUUCUUUAUUCAAAAAUAUUGUAGAAGUAGUGUUUGAUUGAAUGAUGAAAAAUUCAACAACGUUUAUAUAGAUAUUUUGGUCCGCCAAUUUUAUUUUUUACUUUAGAUAUUUUCUUUAUUCAAAUGGAACUAACACAAACCAUUAUCUUAUAUUAUAUCCUCAUGUUUCGUACGGUACAGUACGACAAAGACUCAAUAGAAAUAGAGAACAUUAUUUGUACAUUAUAGAAUGAAUAUCAUACCCAAGUAAUCUAAAGAAAUUACAGUAACAACAGUUUAGUGUAAACAUAACAAAAUCGCGCUAGAAACGAAGAAUUAUCAAUAUUCAUUCACGAACUUAGAGAGAGCUUAGAGAGAGAAAAUGGAGAAAAAUAUAUGUGCCUUUUCAUUUAUAAAGAAUCAAUACAAUGGUCCUACAAUAUCCUAUCCAUUUUUAUACAUGCUACUUCUACUUUUAUAUAAUACACAAUGGUCCUACAUAAAUAAAUUCUAAAAAUUAUAUAUAUACACAAGGUAACUUUAUCUUAUUACAUAAAAUCUCAUAUUGGAAAAGAAAUUACAAAAAUUCCAAAGUAAUUACUUAAAUCCCUUAAAUUCACUCUUUCUCUCUCAUCCCCUCAUACAUAUCAAAAUAUCAUAUUUUGCUCCUAUUUUAAUGCAUUGAUUUUUGCUCCAUAUAUGUGCUCCUUUAUUUACGCCUACAAUCAAGCUAAUGUAAUAUUAAUACUAUCUCAUCCCCCUCCUAUUUGCGUCACUUUUAUAAUAGGAAUUAAAGAUGUACACUUUCAAUUUACCUAAUAAAGGAAAUUGAAUCAUUCUUUUUCCUUAUUAUCAUGUAGCCAAUGUAAUAUUACAAUAACACUAAUUUUUCCUUAAAAUUAUUAUAAUCUUGUAGAUAAUUAAUGUAUAAGGUGAAUAUUUUAUAUGUAUAGUGUGAUAUUAUAUAUUUUGGAAGAUUAUAUUUUAAUGUAUAAGUUAUAAUAUAUUAGACAUUAGACAUUAGUUAUUUUUGGAAGACUAGUGUAUAAUAUAAUUCUUCUGCUAUAUAUUUCAUUAUAUUAUACAUUAAGAAGUUCUUAUUACAUUUAAGAGUCAUUUUAUGUAUUAUUUGGUAUAAUACAAUUAGAAAGUAUCGACGACUGAGGCAAUUCACCUAGUGCGGAGGCUGGUAGAGCAGUAUAGAGAGGAGAAGAGAGAUCUUAACAUGGUGUUUAUCGACUUGAAAAAGGCGUAUGACAAAGUCCCUAAGAAGGUUCUUUGGAAAUGUUUGGAGGCAAUGGGGGUCCUAGUGGCGUACAUCCGAUUGAUUAAGGACAUGUAUGAGGGAGCGAAGACUCGGGUAAGGACUGUGGGAGGAGAUUUCAAGCAUUUCCUGGUCUUGACAGAGUUGCACCAAGGAUCUACUCUUAGUUCAUUUUUAUUCGCCUUGGUGAUGGAUGUGUUGACGUGGAGUAUUUAGGGAGAGGUGCCUUGGUGUAUAUUUUUGCGGAUAAUGUAGUUUUGAUUGAUGAGUCGCGUCGAGAUGUUAAUGAUAAGUUGGAGGUUUGGAGACAAACCCUAGAAUCUAAAGAAUUCAGGUUGAGUAGGACCAAGACAGAGUACUUAGAGGGCAAGUUUAGUGACUCGAGGCAAGAGGACGAGGUGGUAGUGAAGUUGGAUUCUCAGGUGAUUUGUAGGAGGGAUAGUUUUAAGUAUCUUGGGUCUAUGAUUCAGGAGAAUGGAGAGAUUGAUAAGGAUGUCUCUCACCGUAUUGGGGUAGGUUAGAAGAAAUGGAGGCUCACCUCAGGAAUUUUAUGCGAUAAGAAGGUGCCUCCUAAGCUUAAAGGCAAAUUGUAUAGAGUUGCAGUCUGGCCGGCUAUGUUGUAUGGAGCAAAAAGUUGGCCUAUUAAGAAUUCUCACAUCUAAAAGUUAAAGGUGGCAAAAAUAAUGAUAUUGCGUUGGAUGUGCAGAUUUAUGAGGAAUGACAGGGUUAGAAAUGAAAUUAUUCGGGAGAAGGUGAAAGUGGCGUCGGUGGAGGAUAAGAUGGGGGAAGUGAGGUUGAGAUGGUUUGGGAAUGUGAUGAGAAGGGGCACGAAUGCCCCAGUUCAUAGGUGUGAGAGGUUGGCUUUGAAUGGUUUCAAGCGAGGUAGGGGUAGACCGAAGAAGUACUGGAGAGGAGUGAUUAGACGUGACAUGGAGCAGUUACAACUUACUGAGGAUAUGACCCUCGAUAGGAAGGUAUGGAGGAAAAGUAUUAAGAUAGAGGGCUAAGGUGUGUGGUCGAGUCGUAGUCUGCAUCUAGGAGGGUUUGGUGUAGCUUGGUUGGUAAUUCUAGGUUUGGGGGAGGGGGAUCCUUGGUUUGUUAAUGUACUUUAUUUUGUGGAUGUCAUAUCUCUAUUAUUUUAUCAUGUUGCUCGCUUUCGAUGUUUACUAUCCUUUGUCUUGAGCCGGGGGUCUAUCAGAAACAACCUCUCUACUUCUUUGGAGGUAGUGGUAUGGACUGCGUACAUUUUACCCUCCCCAGACCCCACUAUGUGGGAAUAUACUGGAUUUGUUGUUGUUGGUGUUAUACAAUUAGAAAGUAUUAUACCUUCUGAUAAGGAUACAGAAGUAUACAUGUUUAAUGUUAAUACUUAAAUGUAUAGUAUGACAUUAUAUAUUACUGCAGAUUAUUUUUUAAAUGUAUAAUGUGCCCACAUACAUAUACAACUGUUGUAUAAUGUUAUCUUUAAUAUGUAUCAGUUUUUUGCUAUCUUUUUUUCUCUUAAUUUGAGUCUGCUUUAAUUUUCUCAGGGCAUAAAAUACCGUAUUGAUAAAUUCCGAAAAUUAUUUCUUCAACUCUAUGUAAACCCUCACUCCAUUGUCAUUCCUUAUGAUAAUGGGAGAAGAAUUACCUUCAACAAUGUAUUUUACUUUAAUUUUUUUUAUGAACUUCUUCAAUAUUCAAUUCCAUCGCAAUCGUAGUAAUUAAUUUCAAGAAGAUUAUACUUUCUGAAACAAUAAUUGCUUCACUUUUGUAGGAUUGAUAAAUAAUUUCCGACUCCCAAAUACCAGAAUAAUGGCAACAAUAUGAGGAUGUUCAUAUUUUUUUGUCCCGCGAAUUGAAGAAAGAAGACGACUUUUUUUUUCAAGAAUGUAAUUCAACAAUUAGAACAAUUAACAGUGAUGUUUAAGAAUUUUUUUGAAUUUAAAUUUCAGUUACUAUAUUUAAUCAUACACCACAUAAUGAUAUGUAAUUAAUGACAUUAAUUAAGGUAGAGAAAGAUAGUAUCUGAUUUCUCUUUCCAUAAAAAUAGUCAAAUCUGUUUUAUCAUACAUUCCAGCAAUGUAUAAGGGCCUACCUAAUGUAUAAGUCUAUUUUGCAAAUUAGGGAGAGAG